rnacentral:misc_RNA from 1 species
GAUGAAGAACGUAGCGAAAUGCGAUAAGUAGUGUGAAUUGCAGAAUUCCGUGAAUCAUCGAAUCUUUGAACGCACAUUGCGCCCCCUGGCAUUCCUAGGGGCAUGCCUGUUCGAGCGUCAUUAACAACCAUCAAGCGGGACCUGUCUGCCUCGCUUGGCCAUGGGGGAUGGCCGCCCUCGGGGCGCCCACCCCCGAAAUACAACGGCGGACAGCCACCACGGGGCACCCGGGCGUAGUAAGUUGCUCUCUCGCCCGCGCCCACGGAAUGGACUGUCCGGCCGGUCGAACCCCCAACAUCCAAUGGUUGACCUCGGAUCAGGUAGGGAUACCCGCUGAACUUAAGCAUAUCAAUAAGCGGAGGA